UACGAAGGGGGGCUAGCGUUGCUCGGAAUUACUGGGCGUAAAGGGCGCGUAGGCGGGGUCGUUAAGUUUGGGGGGGUGAAAGCCCCAGGGCUCAACCCCUGGAAUUGCCUUCAAUACUGGCGACCUUGAGUAUGGCAGAGGUGUGUGGAACUCCGAGUGUAGAGGUGAAAUUCGUAGAUAUUCGGAAGAACACCAGUGGCGAAGGCGACACACUGGGCCAUUACUGACGC
rnacentral:rRNA from 1 species